UACAGAGGUCUCAAGCGUUGUUCGGAUUCAUUGGGCGUAAAGGGUGCGUAGGCGGCGCGGUAAGUCGGGUGUGAAAUCUCGGAGCUUAACUCCGAAACUGCAUUCGAUACUGCCGGGCUUGAGGACUGUAGAGGAGACUGGAAUUUACGGUGUAGCGGUGAAAUGCGUAGAUAUCGUAAGGAAGACCAGUGGCGAAGGCGGGUCUCUGGACAGUUCCUGACGCUGAGGCACGAAGGUCAGGGGAGCAAACGGG
rnacentral:rRNA from 1 species